AGUACUUGCAAGACGAGCAUACAAACAGACACGUGUGUGUUACUAUAGUCAGAAGAACUGUAUCUCCAGUUCCUUUGUUUGGUUUUUGCUGCUUCGUGAAUAAUGGCGGGACGACGUCUCGCGUUCAACUCGCCUUCAACUCCUCUCCGCGGUCACCAACUUUCGGCCAGUCCGCAGACAGACUGAAGAAACUGCUGAAUGCUCUCAGUGGAUCGUCUCGUCAACUCCAACAACAAACUGCCGAUAUCAACGAGCGGUUCGCUCCACUGGAGCGUUCGGGACUCUGCGGGUUUCUGUCCAUGGAGGAGAGGAACCGACUCAAAGAAGAGGAGACGGGCGCACGAUCCCACGAUAGCGCUGCUGGAAUCGAGACAAAGUGUGCUGGCU
ensembl:lncRNA